rnacentral:rRNA from 1 species
GAUGAACGCUGGCGGCGUGCCUAAUACAUGCAAGUCGAGCGAACGGACGAGAAGCUUGCUCCUCUGAUGUUAGCGGCGGACGGGUGAGUAACACGUGGAUAACCUACCUAUAAGACUGGGAUAACUUCGGGAAACCGGAGCUAAUACCGGAUGAUAUUUUGAACCGCAUGGUUCAAAAGUGAAAGACGGUCUUGCUGUCACUUAUAGAUGGAUCCGCGCUGCAUUAGCUAGUUGGUAAGGUAACGGCUUACCAAGGCAACGAUGCAUAGCCGACCUGAGAGGGUGAUCGGCCACACUGGAACUGAGACACGGUCCAGACUCCUACGGGAGGCAGCAGUAGGGAAUCUUCCGCAAUGGGCGAAAGCCUGACGGAGCAACGCCGCGUGAGUGAUGAAGGUCUUCGGAUCGUAAAACUCUGUUAUUAGGGAAGAACAUAUGUGUAAGUAACUAUGCACAUCUUGACGGUACCUAAUCAGAAAGCCACGGCUAACUACGUG